UACGGAGGGUGCGAGCGUUGUCCGGAAUCACUGGGCGUAAAGGGCGCGUAGGUGGCGCGGGAAGUCAACGGUGAAAGUUCGGGGCUCAACCCUGAAUCGGCCGUCGAUACUCCCGGGCUCGAGCACUGUAGAGGCAGAUGGAAUUCCGGGUGUAGCGGUGGAAUGCGUAGAGAUCCGGAAGAACACCGGUGGCGAAGGCGGCCCGCUGGGCUGUUGCUGACGCUGAGGCGCGACAGCGUGGGGAGCAAACAGG
rnacentral:rRNA from 1 species